rnacentral:rRNA from 1 species
AACAUCUUUUCUUGUUAGUUUUUGAAGUAUGGCCUGCCCGCUGACUUUGNGUGUUGAAGGGCCGCGGUAUUUUGACCGUGCAAAGGUAGCAUAGUCAUUAGUUCUUUAAUUGUGAUCUGGUAUGAAUGGCUUGACGAGGCAUGGGCUGUCUUAAUUUUAAAUUGCUUAUUGAAUUUGGUCUUUGAGUUAAAAUUCUUAGAUGUUUUUAUGGGACGAGAAGACCCUAUAGAGUUUGACAUUUANUUNAUGGUCCCUUUNCUNGUUUGUGAGGGUUCACUNGGGCCAUUUAGUAUGUUUUGUUGGGGUGAUGGGAGGGAUAUAAUUUAACCCCUCCUUUGUGUUGUUAUAUUUAUUUAUAUUUGUUUGAUCCAUUUAUUUUGAUUGUAAGAUUAAAUUACCUU